rnacentral:rRNA from 1 species
AGAGUUUGAUCCUGGCUCAGGAUGAACGCUGGCGGCGUGCCUAACACAUGCAAGUCGAACGAAGCACCUAAAACAGAUUUCUUCGGAUUGAAGUUUUUUGUGACUGAGUGGCGGACGGGUGAGUAACGCGUGGGUAACCUGCCUUAUACAGGGGGAUAACAGUUAGAAAUGACUGCUAAUACCGCAUAAGCGCACAGUACCGCAUGGUACAGUGUGAAAAACUCCGGUGGUAUAAGAUGGACCCGCGUCUGAUUAGCUAGUUGGUGGGGUAACGGCCUACCAAGGCGACGAUCAGUAGCCGGCCUGAGAGGGUGAACGGCCACAUUGGAACUGAGACACGGUCCAAACUCCUACGGGAGGCAGCAGUGGGGAAUAUUGCACAAUGGGCGAAAGCCUGAUGCAGCGACACCGCGUGAGCGAUGAAGUAUUUCGGUAUGUAAAGCUCUAUCAGCAGGGAAGAAAAUGACGGUACCUGACUAAGAAGCCCCGGCUAACUACGUGCCAGCAGCCGCGGUAAUACGUAGGGGGCAAGCGUUAUCCGGAUUUACUGGGUGUAAAGGGAGCGUAGACGGCAUGGCAAGUCAGAAGUGAAAGCCCAGGGCUCAACCGUGGGACUGCUUUUGAAACUGUCAGGCUAGAGUGCCGGAGAGGUAAGCGGAAUUCCUAGUGUAGCGGUGAAAUGCGUAGAUAUUAGGAGGAACACCAGUGGCGAAGGCGGCUUACUGGACGGUAACUGACGUUGAGGCUCGAAUGCUGUGGGAGCCACUAGGACUAGAUACCCUGGUAGUCCACGCCGUAAACGAUGACUAGUAGGUGUCGGGCAGCAAAGCUGUUCGUUGCCGCAGCAUACACAAUAAGUAGUCCACGUGGGGAGUACGUUCGCAAGAAUGAAACUCAAAGGAAUAGACGGGGACCCGCACAAUCGGUGGAGCAUGUGGUUUAAUUCGAAGCAACGCGAAGAACCUUACCUAUUGUUGACAUCCCUCUGACCGUUCCGUAAUGGGAACUUGUCUUUGGAGCAGAGGUGACAGGUGGUGCAUGGUUCUUGUCAGAUCGUGUCGUGAGAUGUUGGGUUAAGUCCCGCAACGAGCGCAACCCCUAUCCUUAGUAGCCAUCAUUGAGUUGGGCACUGUAGGGAGACUGCCGGGGAUAACCCGGAGGAAGGCGGGGAAGACGUCAGAUCAUCAUGCCCCUUAUGCAUUGGGUUACACACGUGUUACAAUGGCGUACACUAAGGGAAGCAGCCAUGUGAAGGUGAGCAAAUCGCCAAAAAUAACGUCUCACAUCGGAUUGUAGUCUCGCUACUCGAAUACAUGAAGCUGGAAUCGAUAUGUAAUCAGCAGAUCAGAUAUGAUGUCGGAGAAUACGUUCACCGGGUCCUGUACACACCGCCCGUC